UUUAUAAAAUUUUGGAACCUGCCAUAUUUCAGUUUUUCAUCAACACAGUGGUUUGUAAGAAAUUAUUCCAGAAACUGGAAAAUUUCACCUACUUGUGCAUCUCUUAAUAUUCAUAUUUCAAAAGUUUAGCUCAGCUAAGAGCAUCUUUUCUAAUCCUCUUCCCCUCACUGAUUAUCCCAUGUUUCAGGUUGAAUAUGGAGUGGUUAUAGGGACACAAAUCUGUGUUUCAGUGUUGAUGAUAGAUAUGGGCUUUGAAAUAAGUCCUUGUUAGGAGUCCCAAAAACUUUGGGCUUUUUGAUGUGUUUUCCAUGAUUGAAAGAUUGCUUUGAAAUAGGACAUAGUAUUCCAAAACAAAUGGACUUUGCUAAGAAAUAUUAAGUGGGACUAAAAAUCGUAAGUUGGAGCAAAAGCUACAUUGUUAACAAUAAUUCUUUCGUAACUUUUUUAUGCUAUAAAGAACAAUUGCUACUAGAACAUUAUUUGGAACAGAACAGGGCAAAAGAGAAAUACUGUAAUUUUAAAAUUUUACUCAGCUGGUAAUAGGCCCACAUAAAAUCAUCAGUAUUUUUUUCUCUUAAUUUAGGGACUCCAGGGAGUUUUCAAAUUGGCAUCGCUUUCCAUAGAUAAAUUAUUAAGGAUUCUGUGAGAAAUAAAAUGACAUCAAUUGGCCAGUUGUCAAGAAAAAAGAAUAAACUAUUUCUUUCCAGAACCAUGAGAACAUGCCAGAGCCAGCUUGCUGAGGAAAUGUGAGGAAUACCAGGAGGACAGCUGAGUCAGCACUACGUUGACCAUCCUGCACCAACCAGCCCCCUCAGAGCCUACAAAUGACUAGAGAGAGAUGUCUGAGAGAGUCCUGCUGAGAUCAGGGUGAAUUUGAUAUCAACUUGAGGAUAUGAAGUCAAGGAAUUUUUUCUGAGAUUCUCAAAUGUGUGGGUAACACACUGUAAAACAAUAAUGAACCACGUUGUUGAUGUAAGAGAAGAAGUAGGAUUGGAUACAAUAAUGCAAGGCCUCCUAAGGACAGCAAGCCAGAAAAAAAGUUCUCACCCGAAACUGAAUCUUGACUUUGGACUUUCCAGCUUCCAGAACUGAAAUACAGAGUGGACUUCAGCACAUGGCUUCCCAUGGAUUUGGGAACCCCAAAUCCUGAACCUGGAAUGAUCAAACCCUACAUGAAGAAAUGUCAUCAGAGUAGAGAAUGCUGAGAAAGUGUGAGGCCCGAGAAGAGCAGUGAGCCCUGAAGACUAGUACCUUCUUCAACAGGGGCGGAGAUAAUGUAGCAUUGAGAAAACAAUCCUCUGAUGCUUCAUGGCUGCAUGAUCUAUUCCAGCAUGCUAGGGUUUCAGGGCGAAGGAGAGUUUUACAACCAUCAAAAGAAGCUCCUUGCUGUAACACAAGUUAAAAUAUGCUGAGCACAGGGUUUUCAUUACAAGGGGUCUUAAUAACUCACUUGGCUUGACUGACCACAGGCAAAAGUAGGCUCAGGGAGUGUUAUAGGAAAUUGGCCAUUGGAGCGGGGGUGGGGAGAGUGAAUGACUACACGAUAAAAGAAGGUCACUCCAGUAGAUAUUUGUUUAAUACCUACUGUGUUCCAGGCACUGUAUUCAAUUAUAAAACUUCAAAGUACACAGCUUAUGUCAAGACAGCCUGCUCUACUUCAUCAGGGGCAAUGUGUUGUGUUUAUUGGGUGCACCUCUGUGUAUAUAAUAAAUUAUAUUUACUUAUAUUCUAUGUCAACUUUUCCCAGAAAAUGUUCCUUAGAAUACUAGAGUCCCAUGAGAUAUUAAUAAAUGUUCUAGGGAGAGGAAAGUUUCCCAACACAAAUAAGUUUUGGAAGUAUUAGGUUAAACAAUGGGUUUCUUUACGGGAGAAAAUCUAGAAGACUUUAAAGAACUAAUAAGUGUUAAUGUUUUCUAGGAAAGGGGGAGUAACAUAAUAAUUCGGCAUUGCCAGACUUACUUGAUUAUGGUCUUUUUUCAUGAAACAACUUUUAAUGUCUCGGAGGAUUUGUGUUUCAUUUGCCUGUGGAAUUCUAAAUUGUCUAAUGUAUGUUUUAUAUUAAAUAUAUAGAGAGUGUAUCAUAUAUUCAUAUGUGUUAAUUAUCUUCUUUCCCUAUUCUAGGCCCAACUUUGAACAAGUUGUGCAGAUAUUUUAUUCAUCAACAUGAACUAUCAAUUCAUUUUAAAAAGAUGUUUUCAUCCUAAUUAAAUUUAGAUAGUCUAAUCAGCAGCCAAGAGUUAUAAUUAUACAUAUUCUUAAGAAGUUCAUGAAAAGGGCAAUGGACUAAGAAGAUAUGAAACAUUUUAUCUCAAACUAGAGCACCAAGGAAACCUUCAAGUCCCAGGAAAGAUAAAUUUCGAAAUAUCAAUUAAUCCAAGUAUUUUACAAUAUGCAAGAAUGUUAAGAUUAUUUCAAAGCCUUGGACAUUCAGUAAAAUAAUACUUGAUGCCUUACUCAGAGACUUUUAUCCAAAAAUGUCAUAGUAUUCUAAAAAUAUAUAAGUCCCUUUUACAAAUAACUAUCAAAAAUCAUUAUGCCCACAGAAACUCAGUUUGACCAACUGGACCUGUCCACAUUUUUUUUUUUUUUUGUCCACAUUUCUUAAUUUUAAGUUUUUAUACUCCUAGGUAGUUCCAUGUUUUGUGUGACUAUUAACCAUCUUCAGCUGUGUAGAGCCAGAUGCAGUGACUGAAGGCCAAGUAUGGAAAUUACACAGUUAAUAUAAAUGCAUGACCCUCAUACCGAAUGAUUCAGGAAUAUACAUUACAUUUCAUGAGUGAGUUCUCUUCAGGGAUUACAUUAACCGUAUCUUCGCUUUGGCACAAUUGGCAUGGACUUAAAGGCAGUUUAUAAUAGAAGUAAUUUAGAGUCAGGAAAGGGUCAAUGAGGCCCUGAAGAGUAUAAAAAUAGUGAUACUCUGAGGACUCCAAUAGUAAGCCAUUUAAACAAAAUUAAGGAAGGAUAUAAAAGAGAUUAUGUAGCAUACAUUUUAAAUGCAGAGAGUUUUUAAAAAUCAUCACAGCGCUUAAAUACCUUUAGUGAUUCCUCAUUAUCUUCAGGAUCAAGUCCAGACUUUCUCAUGUGGCUAACAAAAUCUUUCACCGUGUGUUUUUUUUCUUUU